CCUACGGGUGGCAGCAGUGGGGAAUAUUGGGCAAUGGGCGCAAGCCUGACCCAGCAACGCCGCGUGAAGGAAGAAGGCCCUCGGGUUGUAAACUUCUUUUUAUAGGGAAGAGCAGAACACUGUACCUCUUGAUUAAGCUACGGCUAACUACGUGCCAGCAGCUGCGGCAAUACGUAGGUGGCAAGCGUUGUCCGGAUUUACUGGGUGUAAAGGGCGUGUAGCCGGGAAGACAAGUCAGAUGUGAAAUCCCGCGGCUCAACCGCGGAACUGCAGUUGAGACUGUUGGUCUUGAGUACCGGAGAGGUCAUCGGAAUUCCUUGUGUAGCGGUGAAAUGCGUAGAUAUAAGGAAGAACACCGAUGGCGAAGGCAGAUGACUGGACGGCAACUGACGGUGAGGCGCGAAAGCGUGGGGAGCAAACAGGAUUAGAUACCCCAGUAGUC
rnacentral:rRNA from 1 species